rnacentral:lncRNA from 1 species
AGAGUCAAGACCUCUAUCAAAGAGAAGAAAAGUCAUGAAGAAAUUGCAAAACAAAGCCCAACGAAUUAAACAACGUGCUGCUCAAAACUAUUCAAAUUUUGCUAUUUUAAUAGCUCCUUCCCACUAUUAACAUCUCAAUGUAUAUACAAACAUGUGUACUAUUUCAACAUAACAAGUAGCUUAUAAAAUAUGUGAUUUCCUUUUUUUCCACUUAUACUUCCUUAGUUAAGCAUAAU